rnacentral:rRNA from 1 species
CCUGGUUGAUCUGCCAGUAGUCAUAUGCUUGUCUCAAAGAUUAAGCCAUGCAGCAUGUCUCAGUGCAAGCCGCAUUAAGGUGAAACCGCGAAAGGCUCAUUAAAUCAGUUGUGGUUCCUUAGAUCGUACCCAAGUUACUUGGAUAACUGUGGUAAUUCUAGAGCUAAUACAUGCCGACAGAGUUCCGACCGCCGCGGUGCCCCCGGGUUCCGUGUGCGGGAGAACGCUUUAUUAGAUCAAAACCGGCCCGUCGCGGCGCGCCUCGCGCGCGUCCCGAUCGCGGCCCGCGCAAAGACCUGGUGACUCUGAAUAACUUCGAGCUGAUCGCACGGUCCUCGUACCGGCGACGCAUCUUUCAAAUGUCUGCCUUAUCAACUGUCGACGGUAGGUUCCAUGCCUACCGUGGUGUACGGGUAACAGCGGGGAAUCAGGGUUCGAUUCGGAGGAGCCUGAGAAAACGGCUACCACAUCCAAGGAAGGCAGCAGGCGCGCAAAUUACCCACUCCCGGAACGGGGAGGUAGUGACGAAAAAUAACGAUACGGGACUCAUCCGGGGCCCCGUAAUCGGAAUGAGAACACUUUAAAACCUUUAAACGAGGAUCAUUGGAGGCAAGUCUGGUGCCAGCAGCCGCGGUAAUUCAGCUCCAAUAGCGUAUAUUAAAGUUGUUGCGGUUAAAAAGCUCGUAGUCGGAUCUGUGUCUGGGCGGUGCCGGACCACCCUGGCGGUCCGGCGUGUCGCGGCCGGUCGUGUCGCGGGACCGUGUCGUCGGCGCGGCCGUCGCGCUCGUCAGCCGUCUCGGGGUGUUAGUGAAACGUCCGGCCGGACGUAUCGUGAGCGGACACGUGUCUCGUGCUUCCGGCGCGCCGCGCGGCCACGCGUCGCGCGGCCGUCGGGGUUCGACGACGGCGGCCGCCUACUCCAAUCUUGCUGCGCGGUGCUCUUCACCGAGUGCCGUCGGCGGGCCGACACGUUUACUUUGAACAAAUUAGAGUGCUCAAAGCAGGCUCAAAUCUGGCGGGGCGGCUUCACGGCCGUCUCGUCAAAAGGCCCUGAAUACUGGUCGCAUGGAAUAAUGGAACAAGACCUCGGUCCCGCGCAUCUCCGCCCUUAGCGGGCGCGCGAAACCGCCCUCCGGGGCGUUUCCGUGCGCGGGUCGCCGGGCCGCGGGCGCCAGUCGCCCGCGCGUCCCGCCGGGCCGGUUUCGGACCGGUAAUGAUCAACAGAAGACGGGCGGCAUUCGUACCGAGACGUUAGAGGUGAAAUUCUUGGAUCGUCUCGAGACGAACGACGCGCGGCAUUGCCAAGUACGUUCUCGUAUGAUCAGAACGAAGUGCGCAGAGGUUCAGGCGAUCCAGAUGCCGCCUAGUUCUAACUGUAAACGAUGCUGUAGCGAUCCGCCGGCGUUUCGUGGCAGCCGGCGGGCGCUUCGAAAUGACUUUUCGGUUCGGGAAAUAUGAUUGCAAAGUUGAAACUUAAAGAAUUGACGGAAGGCACCGCAAGUGGAGCCUGCGGCAAUUUGACUCAACACGGGAAACCUCACCAGGCGGACACCGGAAGAUUGACAGGUGAGCUCUUUCCUUGAUUCGGUGGGUGGUGGUGCAUGGCCGUUCUUAGUUGGUGGAGCGAUCUGUCUGGUUAAUUCCGAUAACGAACGAGACUCUGUCCUGCUAACUAGGCGGGUAAACCCGGGUCGGCGGUGGGCGCGGCGCGGGCGGUUUCGGCCGUCCGUGUUCGCGUCUCCGUCGCUCGGCGGUAUCCCGAACGCGUUCGCCCGUCGUCCACGGCGGUCGUCGGGCGCGGCCGCCAUCCGCGUCCUGCGUGCGGCGGGCGUGUGUCGGCCGGGGCAACCUCCGGUCGGCGCGCGUCGGUCGUGCGCGGGGCUCCGCGGUGAAGCGCGCCGCGUUCGCGGCCGUCGCCGGCGGAUCACGAUACGUUACUAGGGCUACCGCCGGCUCCCAGGAGCUUAAACUCUUCUUAGAGGACGGGCGGACGAAAAUAGCCGCACGAGACUGAGCGAUAACAGGUCUGUGAUGCCCUUAGAUGUUCUGGGCCGCACGCGCGCUACACUGAAGGAAUCAGCGUGUGUUAACAUUCCUGGGCCGACAGGCUUCCGGGUAACCCGCUGAACCUCCUUCGUGCUUAGGGAUCGUGGCUUGCAAUUUUUCCACGUGAACGAGGAAUUCCCAGUAAGCGCGAGUCAUCAGCUCGCGUUGAUUACGUCCCUGCCCUUUGUACACACCGCCCGUCGCUACUACCGAUUGAACGACCGCAGUGAGGUCUUCGGACUGGACGCGUUAUUCGGCCCCGGGGGCUGGGUCGUCGCGCGACCGGGAAGAUGACCGAACUCGGCCGUUUAGAGGAAGUAAAAGUCGUAACAAGGUUUCCGUAGGUGAACCUGCGGAAG